UCACUUUUCUAAGGUACUAGUAGUGUGCUCAAGCAAGCCCAAGGUUAGGCUUCUUCCACUUAUGCACAACUUUGAAUCACUUAGUAGCAGCUAUGGUUGCUAGUUUAGAAUGGUACUUUAAUGUACAAUAAACUGUUUUCAUUUUUUUCGAAAAUGAGAUGCUCUUAAUUAGAGGUGUUACUUAUUAUGUGCAUCUUAAUCAAUAACAUAAACUUGGAGGUUUUAUAUUUUAGUAAAUUAUGUAUGUAUUGUUCUUCAUCGUUGUACACAUGAACUUGUUAUUGUCGUGAGUAUUCCAAGAAAAGCAUGGUUCUUCCUUCCAGUUUAAGAUAUUUUUAUUUUCAUAUUGUUUUCAAAGUUUUAGUUGUCUAUUUAUGUUGCUCUGACAGGGAAUAUUAUAAUGAUGUGAAUGAUUGUUGGUUCGUCCAGAAUUUUCAGGAGGUGGCAGAAGUUGUCGUUAUAAUAGCAACAAUGAAAUGGAAUAUGCGGACUGGACAACUUUGUGGCAGAGGAAGCUAAUGUUCAUUUAAAGUUGUGGAAGAUACUGAUGUAUACAAGUAGAUUUGAUAUGCAAGAUGAUGUAUCUGUAGUACUUUGCUUGAUACUGAUUACUAAGUUUGAAAACUUGUUUAUGUAAAUUUGUGUUCAAAUCUGAUUCUGUUUAUAAUGCACUUAUAUGUGCAAUGUGUAUGUGUAUGUGGAUUUGAUCUAUGGAAUAUCUUAAUGAAUUGUAAAACCUACUUUUAUAUUUGUCUGAAUCAAGUGGAGGCGUG
rnacentral:lncRNA from 1 species